rnacentral:misc_RNA from 1 species
ACCUAGGGGACAUCACCUUCGCCCACAUUGGGCGGUUCGUAGACGACAUAGUGACCGUGAGCGAGGAGGAGAUCGUGGACGCCAUGCGCAGGCUGGCCUAUAAGGCACGGCUUGUGGUGGAGCCUAGCCGAGCCGCGGCAUUCGCAAGCUACCUAUACCGUAGAGACGAGCUCCCUUCAACCCGCCUGAAUGUG